AUAACCUUAGCUUGUAAUCUCCAAAUUUCCUCUUUGAAGUCGCCGAAAUCCUUCUUAAGGUCGUGGGCAGCCUCCUCAAAGUCCAUUGGGUAUGAUAUUCGACUAUUAGGGAUGAAGUUCUCCAUUCCUUGCCUUCAUCCGACCAUGCCUUACUUUCAUCCCUCCAGAUUAGCCUCCUACUAGUUUAGAUUUUCAUCCUUAUAUAUAUAUAUAUAUAUAUAUAUUUUAAUGUCAAAAUCAAAACAAGUAAAGAAACAAAGUAAAGUUUCUUAUAUCAACUCCUUUUAAUUUAAUUUACUAGCC
rnacentral:lncRNA from 1 species